AGGGGGUGGGAGAGUCGAUUUUUAAUAGUUACUAUCGAUUUCUUAAGUCUAGCUAAUUAGAAGAUUAGUGUCGUCUGCUCUCGUUGUAGACUUGUAGUAGUAGUACAGUUUCGAGAGAAGAGACGAGUUUAGUAAGUAAUAAGUGAGUGCUGAAGUUUAUUAAGAUAUAGAAUCGUAACGAUAACUUUUAUGGAAACGUGCAUGUCUUCACGAGAAAUAGCACAACUAUUAAAGUUUCAAAAACGUGGUGAUCGUGUAUAAAACUCUGGUGUCGUGGGUCUCCACACUCUCCAUGCAUGCUGCUUGGCGGAUUUCAGGCCUGAACCAGCCAUCAUUACAACACGAUAUGCAAGUUUUGCUUCUGCUGGUAUUGAUCUGCCAUCAGCAACAUACUCAGUCAUCGCUUGGAUAAACAGCAUCCAGACAUCCAGCUUGAUUGGAAAAACUCAGUCCUUGUGUACACCCAUGUGAGUGUGGGGGUAUUCACGAGGACGCCCUUUUUUCGUCAUUCAACUUUUCUGCAGGAUGGAGCACUUAUGGAUGCCAGGCUGUUUUACCCAGGC